rnacentral:misc_RNA from 1 species
CUGCUCGCCGCCGCCUGCUACUGCUAUACCCGCCGUCAGCAUGCAUCCGACAGCGGCCAAGAGGCCAUCGCCGCCGCAGGAUCAGGAGGCCAUGCCGCCGUGCGCGAAGAGAAUGCGGGGUGCUACGGCGCUGCCAACUCCGACCUGGUGGGCGCCCGUCACCGCGGAUCCUCGCAAGAUGCCCUUCGCGCCACCGCAGCCAUGUGCGCCUCGCCGUUGUUCGACAAAUCGCUCAGCGACGACACAGCAAUUGCCCGCUUCAGCUCUGCCGGCAUCUUCGACCCGAUCGCCCCUCGCCGCUACCGGCUUCGCAACGCCGCCGCCUGCUACGUUCGCCUUCGCCUUCAGCAAGCAACAUCGCGCGGCGGCCAAGAGGACAUCACCGCCGCUAGAUGCCAUGCCGCCGUGCGCCAAAAGAAUGCGGGGUCCUUCGGCGCUGCCGGCUCCGACCUGGCCGCCACCACAGCCCUGCUCGUCCAGACGAAGGAGAGGAGGAGGAGGACAACAAUACUUGAUCCAUUUGAAGCUGCCAUGCUGCGAGAGACAGCUGACGAAGAAGAGGACGACGACAUGGACGACUUUGCUAAGGCACUGGAAGAUAUGCUGUUAGGGCAAGCAGAGGAGCCUGCGCCGGAGUUCGACGACGACGGCUUUGCCAAUGCAUAA